GUACUUGUUUUGGCAGCACAAAUACUAAAAUUGGAAUGAUAUAGAGAUCAGCAUGGCCCUUGCUCACGGAUGACAUGCAAAUUUGUGAAGCAUUCCAUAUUUUU